rnacentral:rRNA from 1 species
GACGGACCGUCCGAACGUUACUCGGAAUUACUGGGCUUAAAGGGUGCGUAGGCUGCCUUGCAAGUCGGGUGUGAAAGCCCUCGGCUUAACCGAGGAAUUGCGCUCGAUACUGUGAGGCUCGAGGGAGAUAGAGGUGAGCGGAACUUGCGGUGGAGCGGUGAAAUGCGUUGAUAUCGCAAGGAACACCGGAGGCGAAAGCGGCUCAUGGGGUCUUUCUUGACGCUGAGGCACGAAAGCUAGGGGAGCGAACGGG